AAUCAACGCUGGCGGCGUGCCUAACACAUGCAAGUCGAACGCGAAAGCCCCGCAAGGGGCAAGUAGAGUGGCAAACGGGUGAGUAACACGUGGGUGACCUGCCUUCGAGCGGGGGAGUAACGUCCCGAAAGGGACGCUAAUACCGCAUAACAUCCUGCCUUUGAAGAGGUGGAGAUCAAAGCUGGGGAUCGCAAGACCCGGCACUUGAAGAGGGGCCCGCGCCUGAUUAGCUAGUUGGGGGGUAAUGGCCUACCAAGGCAACGAUCAGUAUCCGGCCUGAGAGGGCGGACGGACACACUGGGACUGAGACACGGCCCAGACUCCUACGGGAGGCAGCAGUGGGGAAUUGUUCGCAAUGGGCGCAAGCCUGACGACGCAACGCC
rnacentral:rRNA from 1 species